rnacentral:rRNA from 1 species
GAUCAUGGCUCAGAUUGAACGCUGGCGGCAUGCCUAACACAUGCAAGUCGAGGGGUAGAGUUCUUCGGGACUUGAGACCGGCGCACGGGUGCGUAACGCGUAUGCAAUCUACCUUAUACAGGGGAAUAGCCCAGAGAAAUUUGGAUUAAUGCCCCAUAGUGUUAUCGAAUCGCAUGGUUUGAUAACUAAAGUUCCAACGGUAUAAGAUGAGCAUGCGUCCCAUUAGUUAGUUGGUAAGGUAACGGCUUACCAAGACAAUGAUGGGUAGGGGUCCUGAGAGGGAGAUCCCCCACACUGGUACUGAGACACGGACCAGACUCCUACGGGAGGCAGCAGUGAGGAAUAUUGGACAAUGGGCGCAAGCCUGAUCCAGCCAUGCCGCGUGCAGGAAGAAGCAUCUAUGGUGUGUAAACUGCUUUUGUACGGGAAGAAACACUCCUACGUGUAGGAGCUUGACGGUACCGUAAGAAUAAGGAUCGGCUAACUCCGUG